UCCCUCUCACAGGGGCCCAGCUGCACCACGCAGGAAUCCGACCAUACCCGCUUCCAUAUUAAAGUCAACUUGCAGGGGUAAUUAUUCGGCUUGAGAAGGAUUCCUUGGUACGAAUCCUCUCUUUCACAAUACCAUGGGUGGUUGAUUUUUUUUUUGGAAAAAAAAACAUGAUUGGUUUGCAAGGUGGGGAGGAACUGAGGAAGGCUGUAUUUCAGGAAAACCAUUUACCUAUUGCUCUAGGAUUUUCCCAAACUGUCUAUUCAUGUCGUGUUAUCAUAAUAGUAUAAAUGUUAGGAAUGUUUUUUAAAAAAAUUACCUGUACUGUUGCAACAAUUUUGUCCAUUCUGGUUCUGGGGGCACAGGCAAGACUACUGAAAUGCAUGCGACAGGCCUAACCUCGAUUGUGACAGCAUAGAGGGGGGAUCAGGGCCUCCGGGGUGAUGUGUUGAUUGAAGAUUCUAGCAUAUAUUGUUGUAGGGCCAACCAAAAUUUGUCCUCUUACUCAGAGAACGGCAAACCACAGAUUCAGGGACAACUUCAAAAAAGGUAGGAGUUUUAGUAUGUAAAUGUUCCCACUAACAUGUACAUGAUUCUGUAUAACAGCAGAAUUCAUACCAGAGAAAAAACCAGUGUGUCUCAAACUUAGGGGCUAGAGUUCUAUUCUCCAUGGAAAAUUACAUUUUUACUUUGAAACGAAUGAAUGAUUGCAUAUGCAGUUACAUUGCCAUCAAUCAUCUCGUUUGCUUCUAAAUAUCUUCAAGCUAAAGGAACGACCUUUUCCAAAUGUUUCAGUAAAAAUGCUUCUCACACAUCAGGUAAAAAGAAGAGGAAAAAGGGUAAAAGUUCAUACUGAAUCAUGAUACAAUUAUGAGUUGUGGGGCUAUCUUGAGCCAAAUUUAUUUUAACGGUACACGCUUUAUGAGCUCAACAAUAUUCCUGGAGAUCAUAGAAGUACUUGCUUAUUUAAAUAUGAUGAGUGCAUUCUCCUAGAGGAUUGCAUCUUGUAAAGCUACAUAUGUACGGCCAGAUAUGCACUUGUCUAUUUGGGAUUGGCUGGUCUUUUAAUUUAAUCAUCUUUGAUCUUUACUUUUAUCUAUUUUCUGCAGUUCUUUACUCGUGGAGGUUAAAAAGUACAAGUUAUUCCAACGCUCCAGUGUGCAGAGAUCAAUAAACUAGCAAACAUAAUUGUGGUUUGGGUGGAGAUACAUGUGAUCCGGAUACCAAAGUCCAAUUUGAGAGGUUAAUCAUAUGAUGGGGCAAUAGUUUUUUUAAUUCCCAAGACUGUUCCAGUUUUGGAAGUGCUUUAAAUAUUUUCAGUAUGUUACUUACUAUUUGUACUACGCGCAUUUUGCUUGAUUCCUCCCAUGUGAACGUGUUUCUGCGCCCUGAUCAGGGAGGAAUGCGAUAAAAUAGGCUUUGAUUCAUUAUUCCAUGACACGCACAGGAAUCUCGGUGCCUCUUGGCGAUGCAACAAAGCCAGCACAGUACAGAUCGCUUGUCUCAAUUGGAUGAAGAGUAGAAGACACUAGUUGGAGAAUGACAUCAAUGAUAUUAUGAUAAAGUGCAAGGCACCAAGAAUGCUCGUCUGUGAGGAGCCCUAGCAUUCACUUUAAGGAGGUGAGCACCCAUGUUACAGCCUCGGCAGGUUUGGGCCCCUCUGUCAGUUGAGCAAGUUCUUCACUGCAAGAGAUGAUCAAUUUUCACAGGUAACUUUGUUAGAUCUGAGGGGGCUCAUCACAUUAAUAAUUGAGUCAUGCAACAGUGUGGUACGCAAUCAUGGGAUACUCGGAAUCUGACAACCAAUCUGAAAUCGAAAUCUCGAGGCUGUACUGAACUGCAUCGAACCGUGGGAGUUUGAAUAUUCCAAGUCAAGGGAGGCGGAUUCAUUAUCAUAGACGAGUAUAAUUUCGGAUUUGCUAUGUGCACCAGGAGCAGCAUCCACGGGAGGGCAAACCGGCCGUCAGGCACAAAUGCAUGAUGGAGCUCUGAAAGUGAAAGCAGCCGCCGCCGAAAGCUACUGCAUCCCUGACGUUUGCCGAGCGAAUGGUGUGCAUGGAAGAAGCUCGGUCCGGUCUCCUUGAUCCUGUGUCGAUUAUUGAUGUCGUGAAGUCUAAGGAAGCUGUAUAUAGUGCUGUAUAAUUGAAGUAUCUGGCCAAAAUAAAGGCCAAGGGACUUGUUGAAGCUCUCAGCUUACAUAGUUACAUAUAGUGCUGAACUCACCAGGGUGAUGCUUGUGCAAAUGGGUGCGAAAUUUUUUGGGG